GAUGAACGCUGGCGGCGUGCCUAAUACAUGCAAGUCGAGCGAACGGACGAGAAGCUUGCUUCUCUGAUGUUAGCGGCGGACGGGUGAGUAACACGUGGAUAACCUACCUAUAAGACUUGGAUAACUUCGGGAAACCGGAGCUACUACCGGAUGAUAUUUUGAACCGCAUGGUUCAAAAGUGAAAGACGGUCUUGCUGUCACUUAUAGAUGGAUCCGCGCUGCAUUAGCUAGUUGGUAAGGUAACGGCUUACCAAGGCAACGAUGCAUAGCCGACCUGAGAGGGUGAUCGGCCACACUGGAACUGAGACACGGUCCAGACUCCUACGGGAGGCAGCAGUAGGGAAUCUUCCGCAAUGGGCGAAAGCCUGACGGAGCAACGCCGCGUGAGUGAUGAAGGUCUUCGGAUCGUAAAACUCUGUUAUUAGGGAAGAACAUAUGUGUAAGUAACUGUGCACAUCUUGACGGUACCUAAUCAGAAAGCCACGGCUAACUACGUG
rnacentral:rRNA from 1 species